UUGUUCGUGUUUUUGUUUGCCUAGUGUUUUUUAGUUAUAUGCAAAAUAUGGCAUGGUAUGGAACACUGCAUGUGUAAAAGUAGAUGAAAGCACUAAAGAAAACGAUAGCGAUAUUUUUUCAAGCAGAAUUUUGUCAUGCGAUUAUGGUGGCGAUAUGAGAGAACUACUUUGGCAGAAUAUUACUAUCGUAGAACAGUUUUGCAUCAAAUCAUUGUAUAAUAUUAGUUUUGUGUUGCUUAAAAAUAUCAUAAAACUCAAA